rnacentral:lncRNA from 10 species
AUGACAAACACAAAGGAAAAGAGGAGAGGCACCCGAUAUAUGUUCUCUAGGCUUUUUUAGAAAACAUGAAGUUGUUCCUUUGGCCACGUAUAUGUGAAUCUAUAAGAAAGGUGAUAUUGUAGACAUCAAGAGAAGGUACUGUUCAAAAAGAAAUGCUCCACAAGUGUUAACAUGGCAAAACUGGAAGAAUCUACAGUGUUCCCCAGCAUGCUGUUGGCAUUGUUGUAAACAAACGAGGGCAAGAUCCUUGCCAAGAGAAUUGAUGUGUGUAUUGAGCAUAUUAAGCACUCUAAGAACUGAGAUAGCUUCCUGAAAUGCAUGAAGGAAAAUGAUCAGAAAAAGAAAGAAGCCAAAGAGAAAGGUGCCUGGGUUCAACUGAAGCGCCAGCCUGCUCCACCCAGAGAAGCACACUGUGUGAAAACCAGUGGGAAGGAGCCUUAGCUGCUGGAACCUCUUCCCUAUGAAUUCAUGACAUAA